rnacentral:sRNA from 1 species
UUUUAGCCCCGAUGGAAGUGGAAAUCCUGUCAUUGCGCAACCAAAAAUUUGAUGAGAUUGCUUCGUUCCUCGCAAUGACAGAUUGAAACGAACAGCGGGAAAAUGA